rnacentral:rRNA from 1 species
UACGGAGGGUGCGAGCGUUGUCCGGAAUCACUGGGCGUAAAGGGCGCGUAGGUGGCGGAGCAAGUCAACGGUGAAAGCUCGACGCUCAACGUCGAGUCGGCCGUCGAGACUGCUUUGCUCGAGCACUGUAGAGGCAGAUGGAAUUCCGGGGUGUAGCGGUGGAAUGCGUAGAGAUCCGGAAGAACACCGGUGGCGAAGGCGGUCUG